GUAGGCAUAGUUUAUUUAAAACAUUAGAUUGUGAUUCUAAAGUUAGAGGUUAAAACCCCCUUGCCCGCC
rnacentral:tRNA from 1 species